GAAUCUUGCGCAAUGGGCGAAAGCCUGACGCAGCCAUGCCGCGUGAAUGAUGAAGGUCUUAGUAUUGUAAACUUCUUUCACCGGGGACGAUAAUGACGGUACCCGGAGAAGAAGCCCCGGAUAACUUCGUGCCCGCAGCACCGGUAAUACGCAGGGGGCUAGCGUUGCUCGGAAUUCCUGGGCGUACAGGGCGCGUAGGCGGAUCGUUAAGUCAGAGGUGAAAUCCCAGGGCUCAACCCUGGAACUGCCUUUGGUACUGGCGAUCUUGAGUAUGAGAGAGGUAUGUGGAACUCCGAGUGUAGAGGUGAAAUUCGUAGAUAUUCGGAAGAACACCAGUGGCGAAGGCGACAUACUGGCUCAUUACUGACGCUGAGGCGCGAAAGCGUGGGGAGCAAACA
rnacentral:rRNA from 1 species